rnacentral:rRNA from 1 species
CCUACGGGAGGCAGCAGUGAGGAAUAUUGGUCAAUGGACGAGAGUCUGAACCAGCCAAGUAGCGUGAAGGAUGAAUGCCCUAUGGGUUGUAAACUUCUUUUAUAUGGGAAUAAAAUGUUCCACGUGUGGGAUUUUGUAUGUACCAUAUGAAUAAGGAUCGGCUAACUCCGUGCCAGCAGCCGCGGUAAUACGGAGGAUCCGUGCGUUAUCCGGAUUUAUUGGGUUUAAAGGGCGCGUAGGUGGAUUGUUAAGUCAGUUGUUAAAGUUUGCGGAGCAACCGUAAAAUUGCAGUUGAAACUGGCAGUCUUGAGUACAGUAGAGGUGGGCGGAAUUCGUGGUGUAGCGGUGAAAUGCUUAGAUAUCACGAAGAACUCCGAUUGCGAAGGCAGCUCACUGGACUGCAACUGACACUGAGGCUCGAAAGUGUGGGUAUCAAACAGGAUUAGAUACCCUUGUAGUC